rnacentral:rRNA from 1 species
UACGGAGGGGGCUAGCGUUGUUCGGAAUUACUGGGCGUAAAGCGCGCGUAGGCGGCUUAGCAAGUUAGAGGUGAAAGCCCGAAGCUCAACUUCGGAAUUGCCUUUAAAACUGCAGAGCUAGAAUCAUGGAGAGGUGAGUGGAAUUCCGAGUGUAGAGGUGAAAUUCGUAGAUAUUGGAAAGAACACCGGCCGCGAAGGCGUUUCACUGGCUCAUUACUGACGCUCAGGGACGAAAGCUAGGGGAGCAAACGGG